ACGGUUCAAACAGCUGUUCAGAGCAGGAACAGGGGCUGUCUCCAACACUUUUCAGGUUUUUGGGACCCUACUUCUCAUAUUGGGUUGCCUUGUGCAGCCUUAAUAUAUGUGGAGAUCUGAAUCUGUAGUCAUCAAUUCCAUGGCAAAAGGAGAUUCUUUGCCAUUUAUUGUCAGUGGGAGCACGGGUCAUGGACUUCCACAAGGUUCCUGAUGAUGGCCUCCAACAUCAAUAUGUUCUGUGGAUCUCAGCAUGGUCUCUGGUGGCAGUAUAGACCACUGUACAUCAACAUGGCCCUCUGUCACAACACAGGCCAUGGACACCAUCAUAGCCCUCAGCAGCAGAACAGGCAAGGACAUCAACAUGGCCUCAGUAUCUUACACAUGGGUCAUCAUUAUCAAGAGUGUUAAAGUCACAUCAAGAGAGUCUAACAAAGACAAACUCCUUUGAAGAAUAAGACUUCUGAGAAAUAACCUGGAGAAACAAGAAGGGGCAAGCUAAAGUUCUCAAAAGAGGCAGACACAACACUACUUCUGAUGUGUUAGUCGAAAUCAUGAACCAGGAAAAAAUCCCCAAAAGUCUCCCUCAGGAACACAUCAUUCUGGCUUCCCUGAAGGUGUGAAUGAUUCAACAAAGGAUCCCAAGGUGCCAGAAGGUAGGAGGGAAGCAGUAUAAGAGGAGCCUGGAUAUCUGAAUCAUCCUAUGGAGAGCUUACCAGUACAUCUGCAUUCAACUUUCUAUGUUUCCCAGCUACUGCUCCAGCGCCAUGCCUGACUGCCUGGUGCCAUGAAAGUGAUGGACGACCCUCUGAAACUGCAAGCAAGUCCCCAAUAAACCCAAUCUAUUUGGAGGACCAAGAAAUUAGAGCAAAAGGAAAAAGAG